GACGAACGCUGGCGGCGUGCUUAACACAUGCAAGUCGAACGGAAAGGCCCUGCUUUUGUGGGGUGCUCGAGUGGCGAACGGGUGAGUAACACGUGAGUAACCUGCCCUUGACUUUGGGAUAACUUCAGGAAACUGGGGCUAAUACCGGAUAGGAGCUCCUGCUGCAUGGUGGGGGUUGGAAAGUUUCGGCGGUUGGGGAUGGACUCGCGGCUUAUCAGCUUGUUGGUGGGGUAGUGGCUUACCAAGGCUUUGACGGGUAGCCGGCCUGAGAGGGUGACCGGCCACAUUGGGACUGAGAUACGGCCCAGACUCCUACGGGAGGCAGCAGUGGGGAAUAUUGCACAAUGGGCGGAAGCCUGAUGCAGCAACGCUGCGUGCGGGAUGACGGCCUUCGGGUUGUAAACCGCUUUCGCCUGUGACGAAGCGUGAGUGACGGUAAUGGGUAAAGAAGCACAGGAUAACUACGUG
rnacentral:rRNA from 1 species